GACUGCACAAACAGAUAAGGAUAGAAACCAAACGUGCCAUUUUAUUUUAUAACUUAAUGAGUAAAGUUGCGGUAGCAAUGGAUAGCAGCUGUCAAUCACAAUGACUGUCAGCCCUCGGUGUAACCGCGGAGUUGAAAUGAACACUUUUUACCAGGAUUGGACGUUAAGCAAAACGUUUCAUCCAAACCAUGGAGGAUGGAGGUCUGAUUUGGCUUGCGGCUGGCGGGUCCCGGCGGAGAUGUCGGCCUAAACAGCCGGGUCUGAAGUGAUUAUAAACCGUCCCCUUCUUUGGCCUGUUUACUCUGAAAGCGCGUCCUUCAAGCACCGUCUUCUAAGAAACGGGACGCUAAGCCGUGAAGAAAAAAAAAGCAGCUGUCGUUUAUCGCUGCCUUGCAGACAAAUCCACUCUAAAUGGCCGGUGAUUUUCACUCAUUGGAUCAAUAAUCCGUUUGAGAAUUUUGAUGUGGAUUAAGACGUUUUGUUAAAUUUUUUUCUUCCCUUUUGAACAAAUAUCUCAUGUUUACCUCUUUCAUCUUAAAGGAGAAAGCUUCAGACAAUAGAAAAAAAAUUAAACGCUCUGAAGUUUUGGAAGGUGUAAUAACGGGUAUGUCUCCAUGCCUAACUACAGAUUUAAAAGCAAUUUAGUUGUUUU